UCAAAACUUGUAUGGAGUUGAAACAGCUUCCCCUCGUUUGCCGCUAGGGGCGCUGUUCCAACUCCAUACAAAGUAAGAGUUA
rnacentral:pre_miRNA from 1 species